rnacentral:lncRNA from 1 species
UUAAAAAAUCAGCCAUUUGGGGUUUUAAGCCAUAAACGAUUUUUCUUGUUGCAGGGGAUUGCAGAGGCAAAGCUAGGCUAGGUCUUGGAGGCUGGUGGAAGGCGGUGCGGGUAAGGCAGGACGCUGAUGGGAGAGACUGGUCGAAGAAAAGCCGAAAUGGAUUCUCCGUGCCUUGGAUGGAGGAAGAGGGGGGAAGUGCGAGCUCCUUCAACUCGUUCUGUCCGGUGAGGAGUGAUCCAGCUUGGGCUGACAAGAGGCUCCGGAGCCUUCAUGUUCAGUGCUUUUUUACCUGCCAAUCAAACUGCUACAAGACAACACCCUGCUCUGGCAUGGACAUAGAACCUAGAAAUUAUAUUCUCUUCAAGAUCCAUGAAAGAGAACCUGACUGCUUGCUUUGGUCUGAGAGUUCAGACAUCUCUUCUCUUAAGAAAGUCUUCAUUUCCGUUUGCUGAGUCCUCCUGUUUUGUCAUCGCUGGGCCCUGUAAGAAGUUUGCCAGGAGGUCCCCAGAAGUAGAAGGACCAUGCUCUCUAUUCUAAGCUGGCCUUGAACUCAUGACGAAUCAGAGGAUGGCCUCAAUCUGGGAUGGACAUUUCCAGCAGAGAAAUGCUAUCUAGACCAAAGACAUUGUUUUACUAUACAGCCAACGGUUCUUUAAAUGCCCGGCAACCCUCUCUUCUCCGGUGCUUGAUGGUGUGUGUGUGAAGAAGUGUUCCUAAACACCGGCACAAAAGAGUGGGCAUACAUCAAGCAUACAAGAGGUGGAGGAGAGAGGGGGCCUUGCCGAUGCCUCAGAUGAGGUGGUGGAUGAGAAAAGCAGGGGUGGAUCAGAGUAGACACAGCACUCAAAGUCUGGUUCCAUUUCCCAGAAGUAAUCGUUCAGCUUCUACGUGGUUUGUCAUUGCCAAAGUCAAGACUCAAACCCAGGCCCUGACCACCAGAGACUGUCAGUUUUCAAGCUU